AUUUUUCGCAAUGGGCGCAAGCCUGACGAAGCAACGCCGCGUGGAGGAUGAAGGCCUUCGGGUUGUAAACUCCUGUCGACCGGGACGAAAGCUAUCCGACCUAAUACGUCAGGUAGUUGACUGUACCGGUGGAGGAAGCCACGGCUAACUACGUGCCAGCAGCCGCGGUAAUACGUAGGUGGCAAGCGUUGUCCGGAUUUAUUGGGUUUAAAGGGUGCGUAGGCGGUUAAUUAAGUCAGUGGUGAAAUACUUCAGCUCAACUGGAGAGGUGCCAUUGAUACUGGUUGACUUGAGUACUGAUGAGGUAGGCGGAAUGGACGGUGUAGCGGUGAAAUGCUUAGAUAUCGUCCAGAACACCGAUAGCGAAGGCAGCUUACUAAGGAGUAACUGACGCUGAGGCACGAAAGUGUGGGGAUCAAAC
rnacentral:rRNA from 1 species